CUUAGUUCUAUUCCGGGGUUGGUUUACCCGACAGUGACCAAAUAGGAGGGCUGCUCCUGCAUCUGGGGGCUGCUCCAGAAAUCCUGCCUGGUCCUGCCCCUCACGCUGCCUGUCUCGCUGCUCCCCACAUUUCCCUCUGCCGCAGCUGACCAGAAAAGGGGAUUUUGGACCCAAAGGAGUCCGGGACGAAGGAAAAGGGUGGUAAACCUGAUAAUAAACCCAGUUCGGGGGAUCAGAGUGAGAGGCGCUGGCAAUGGACUAGGAAGCUCGGCUGCCGCUGCUACUGCUCCCCCCUGGGCUUCAGUGAGAGCCUUUCCCUGUCAAGCAAGAGGGGUGAGGAUCAUAUUUUUAUUUUGGAAAGUAAAAAGUGCUCCCAGGGUCGGUGAUUAUUAAGGGGAAAUCCCUGAAUAUACUCUCCAGCCAAGAAGGCAGGGCUGCCGGGGCUGCACAAGAAGAGGCAGCAGCCUCCUACAGCACCACUACAGGCACUGCGAGGACAUAACACCAGAGUGGCUCCUCUGCCCUCCGAAACGACAACUUUCCUACCAUCUUGGAGGCAGAGCAAAGGGGGGCCAGGGGGAAAAGUGCACUCGCUCCCCGAUAAAGUACACAUUUCUACUUCUCACCUCUGGAAAAAAGUCCACACCGGCCGUCGACACCAGCGCCUGGGGGAGAAAGCAGGGAAGAAACUGAGGGUUCAUGAGAAACGUGCAUUUGCUCCAGGGGGGAAAAUGUUUCUGCAUCUUCUGAUGGGAAGAAAUCUUUACAACCACAGGUUUUCCGGUGAUUAUUGUUUUCUCUUUUCUAUCUUAAUUUUUUUCCAUGUUAGUGAAAGUCGUAUUUUUUUUUAAGUCAGUAAUGAUUUUUGUCCAUUACAGGUUUAAGUUCUGUGUCUGGUGGACAGUUUAUAAAUCUGUACUUCCAGAGGCUUCAUAGUUAUUUUGUCUAUUUAUUUUUGUUACUCUAUAUAUAAAUGUUUGUGUUUUCAUAUAUAUACAUACACAUAUGUCUGUGUCACGUAUUCUAAACUGAGAUUGCUGUAAGACAAUUGUAAAGAGAUGUCUUUUGUCUCCUCCUCGCAAAGCAAUGUAAAUAAAACCUAUUGACUGUCCUGAAA